GAUGAACGCUAGCUACAGGCUUAACACAUGCAAGUCGAGGGGCAGCAUGAACAUAGCUUGCUAUGUUUGAUGGCGACCGGCGCACGGGUGCGUAACACGUAUCCAAUCUACCCAUGGCUCGGGGAUAGCCUUUCGAAAGAAAGAUUAAUACCCGAUGGUCUCGGUUUAAGGCAUCUUAGACUGAGUAAAGAUUUAUCGGCGAUGGAUGAGGAUGCGUCUGAUUAGGUAGAUGGCGGGGUAACGGCCCACCAAGUCGACGAUAGCUAGGGGAUCUGAGAGGACGGUCCCCCACACUGGUACUGAGACACGGACCAGACUCCUACGGGAGGCAGCAGUAAGGAAUAUUGGGCAAUGGAGGCAACUCUGACCCAGCCAUGCCGCGUGAAGGACGAAGGCCCCUAACGGGUCGUAAAACUUCUUUUGUCAGGGAAUAAAGUCGCCUACGCGUAGGCGUUUGCAGGUACCUGAAGAAUAAGCAUCGGCUAACUCCGU
rnacentral:rRNA from 1 species